AAAAACAUAUUACGUUAGUAAAAGAAUAGUGUGGCAAAACGAAAAAGCUGUUAUCGUAUAAAAAAAUCUCGGAGAAUAUUAAGAAAAUAUUGAAGAAGCAGAUAUGAAGGAAACAAACCAACAAA